AAUAUGUGACAAUGGGGGAAACCCUGAUCCAGCCAUGCCGCGUGUGUGAAGGAGGUCUUCGGAUUGUAAAGCACUUUAAGUUGGGAGGAAGUGUUGUGGGCUAAUAUCCAUCAAUUUGGACGUUACCGACAGAAUAAGCACCGGCUAACUCUGUGCCAUCAGCAGCGGUAAUACAGAGGGUGCAAGCGUUAAUCGGAAUUACUGGGCGUAAAGCGCGCGUAGGUGGUUGAGUAAGAUGGGUGUGAAAUCCUCGGGCUUAACCUGGGAACUGCUUUCAUAACUGCUGAGCUAGAGUACGGUAGAGGAUAGUGGAAUUUCCUGUGUAGCGGUGAAAUGCGUAGAUAUAGGAAGGAACACCAGUGGCGAAGGCGACUACCUGGACUGAUACUGACACUGAGGUGCGAAAGCGUGGGGAGCAAACAG
rnacentral:rRNA from 1 species